UCUUCAUUCCACGUACUAUCUCACCGGUCAGAGAUGCGAGAGAGUGUGCGAAAUGAAGAGA
rfam:Pristionchus pacificus strain PS312 contig7581, whole genome shotgun sequence.